UAAAUAUAAAGAACAAUACAAAGUUUUUAUAGUGGUUUCAAUACUUUCGCUCAUAGAUACAAAUUUCCCAAGUCAUAGACCAGUGCACACAAGACAGAGGAGGGCUGAAGACCCCUGCACUGGUGCCAGAACACUUGCAGGCUGACAGUAUCCUGAUCUGUGCUGAGAGAUGAGUGUUCACAAGAGGCUGUGCCAGAGAAGCGCAGCCAGGAAGGGGUGAGAAGGGAGAUCUGCUCAGAGAGAACUGCAGGUUUCAGUGUUUUCUCUUGCCUUUUGCUCUGCAGCAGUGAAGGUGUUGGAUGCUCACUGCCUGCUGUGCAGCACAACUCAUGGAUAAUGGCCCAGAUUUUCUCUCCAAAGAAGCUUUUGGAAACUGUAUUAUACCAUCAGCAUGGUAUUAGAUAUUCCUUGCCAGACAAUCCCAUUGAAUGCCAGCUGGAAUAAGAUUAGCUCCUCCUGAACCUGAGACAUGAAACAAUGGCUGCCAGAGACUCCUGUUUUGGCAGCUGCAAGCAGAGUUUAUUGUGGGUUAGCAGGAGGAAGUUCUCUGCUGCUGAGAAUGAAAGAGAGCUGAGGGAGAAGUAUGGAGUGGGGGGAGCUGAAUGCCACUAGGAUUUUGAGUUUUAGGUCUUCUGUGAGACAAUUUUCAUUGCUUAACUUGGAAACAGUGCAUCGGUGCAGUAUUUAUAAUCUGUGAAGAUUGGCAUUUGCCUCAUCUCAGCUAAAGACAUUCAGCUCACAGAUAAUAAAACGUUCAAAGAAUUUAAUUGACUCCCCCGUCUGAUCCCUUACUGAACUGGUGGUGGCCUUGGGCUUGUAGCUGAGCUUAAGAUACAAUUAUGUGUAUUCAACCUAUGUCACAUUGCGACCCACCUAAGCAUCUUAUUUCACAUGCAGCCAUAUGGAAGGAGGAUGCUAAGGCUAUAUAAUAUACUUACUGCAAUUUUGAGAACUCAGAUGGCACAGCAAUUGUUCCCAAACCCUUAGCAUCCAUGAAUGAUUUGCAUUUCUUCAGGGAGCUGUUUUCCUGCAGGACAAAUAGCAGUUGGCAGUGAAGUAAGCUUAAAAGACUAAUUUCAUUUAAAAGCAUGCAUUCUGUUACAAAUAAAUACU